AGUGAACGCUGGCGGUAGGCCUAACACAUGCAAGUCGAACGGCAGCACAGUAAGAGCUUGCUCUUACGGGUGGCGAGUGGCGGACGGGUGAGGAAUACAUCGGAAUCUACUUUUUCGUGGGGGAUAACGUAGGGAAACUUACGCUAAUACCGCAUACGACCUACGGGUGAAAGCAGGGGAUCUUUGGACCUUGCGCGAUUGAAUGAGCCGAUGUCGGAUUAGCUAGUUGGCGGGGUAAAGGCCCACCAAGGCGACGAUCCGUAGCUGGUCUGAGAGGAUGAUGAGCCACACUGGAACUGAGACACGGUCCAGACUCCUACGGGAGGCAGCAGUGGGGAAUAUUGGACAAUGGGCGCAAGCCUGAUCCAGCCAUACCGCGUUGGUGAAGAAGGCCUUCGGGUUGUAAAGCCCUUUUGUUGGGAAAGAAAAGCAGCAGGUUAAUACCCCGCUGUUCUGACGGUACCCAAAGAAUAAGCACCGGCUAACUUCGUG
rnacentral:rRNA from 1 species